rnacentral:rRNA from 1 species
GACGAACGCUGGCGGCGUGCUUAACACAUGCAAGUCGAACGCUGAAGCUCAGCUUUUGUUGGGUGGAUGAGUGGCGAACGGGUGAGUAACACGUGAGUAACCUGCCUCUUUCUUUGGGAUAACGCCCGGAAACGGGUGCUCAUACUGGAUAUUCACUGGUCUUCGCAUGGGGGUUGGUGGAAAGGGUUUUUCUGGUGGGGGAUGGGCUCGCGGCCUAUCAGCUUGUUGGUGGGGUGAUGGCCUACCAAGGCUUUGACGGGUAGCCGGCCUGAGAGGGUGACCGGGCACAUUGGGACUGAGAUACGGCCCAGAGUCCUACGGGAGGCAGCAGUGGGGAAUAUUGCACAAUGGGCGCAAGCCUGAUGCAGCGACGCCGCUUGAGGGAUGGAGGCCUUCGGGUUGUGAACCUCUGUCGCUCAUGGUCAAGCCGCAACAAUGGUUGUGGUGAGGGUAGUGGGUAAAGAAGCGCCGGCUAACUACGUG